CCUACGUGGAGCAGCAGUGGGGAAUAUUGCACAAUGGGGGAAACCCUGAUGCAGCGACGCCGCGUGAGUGAAGACGUAUUUCGGUAUGUAAAGCUCUGUCAGCAGGGCAGAAAAUGACGGUACCUGACCAAGAAGCCCCGGCUAACUACGUUCCAGCAGCCGCGGUAAUACGUAGGGGGCAAGCGUUAUCCGGAUUUACUGGGUGUAAAGGGAGCGUAGACGGCAGGGCAAGUCUGGAGUGAAAGGCGGGGGCUCAACCCCCGGACUGCUCUGGAAACUGGCAGGCUGGAGUGCAGGAGAGGUAAGUGGAAGUCCUAGUGUAGCGGUGAAAUGCGUAGAUAUUAGGAGGAACACCAGUGGCGAAGGCGGCUUACUGGACUGUAACUGACGUUGAGGCUCGAAAGCGUGGGGAGCAAACAGGAUUAGAUACCCCUGUAGUC
rnacentral:rRNA from 1 species